rnacentral:pre_miRNA from 1 species
CAAAUACUCCCUCCGUUCCAAAUUACUCGUCGCAGAAAUGGAUGUAUCUAGAACUAAAAUACAUCUAGAUACAUCCAUACCUGCAACAAGUAAUUCGAAACGGAGGGAGUAUAUU